CACGUAGGUGGCAAGCGUUGUCCGGAUUUACUGGGCGUAAAGAGCGCGCAGGCGGUCGUUCAAGUCGCGUGUGAAAGCCCCCGGCUCAACUGGGGAGGGUCACGCGAUACUGAUCGACUCGAAGGCAGGAGAGGGAAGUGGAAUUCCCGGUGUAGUGGUGAAAUGCGUUGAUAUCGGAAGGAACGCCGGUGGCGAAAGCGGCGUGCUGGACCUCUUCUGACGCUGAUGCGCGAAAGCCAGGGGAGCAAACGGG
rnacentral:rRNA from 1 species